rnacentral:rRNA from 1 species
GACGAACGCUGGCGGCGUGCUUAACCCAUGCAAGUCGAACGGAAGGGCCCUGCUUUUGUGGGGUGCUCGAGUGGCAAACGGGUGAGUAACACGUGAGUAUCCUGCCCUUGACUUUGGGAUAACUUCAGGAAACUGGGGCUCAUACCGGAUAGGAGCUCCUGCUGCAUGGUGGGGGUUGGAAAGUUUCGGCGGUUGGGGAUGGACUCGCGGCUUAUCGGCUUGUUGGUGGGGUAGUGGCUUACCAAGGCUUUGACGGGUAGCCGGCCUGAGAGGGUGACCGGCAACAGUGGGACUGAGAUACGGCCGAGAGUCCUACGGGAGGCAGGAGUGGGGAAGAAUGCCUGAUGGGGGGAAGUAGGAUGCAGCAACGCGGCGUGCGGGAUGACGGCCUGCGGGUAGGAAACGGCUUUGGGGUGUGACGAAGCGUGAGUGACGGUAACGGGUAAAGAAGCACCGGCUAACUACGUG